rnacentral:ncRNA from 1 species
AAUCAAGUGCCUUAAGGGUGUUCGGUGGAUGCCUUGGCGCUGAGAGGCGAUGAAGGACGUGCUACGCUGCGAUAAGCCGUGGGGAGCUGCGAAGAAGCUUUGAUCCGCGGAUUUCCGAAUGGGGAAACCCACCUUCGAUAGCCGGAACUCCAAGACCUUGGU